UCAACGGUUAUAGAGAACUAAAAACUGUAACAGGGAUUAAAAUGAGAACAUUUAUAAAAAAGAAUAAACUAAAUAAUAGUUUCAAGUAGUUUACAUGAGUACAAAAAUUAAACCGUAGUUUUCAAGCUA
rnacentral:sRNA from 1 species